UACGUAGGGUGCAAGCGUUGUCCGGAAUUAUUGGGCGUAAAGAGCUCGUAGGCGGUUUGUCGCGUCUGCUGUGAAACCUAGGGCUUAACCCUGGGCCUGCAGUGGGUACGGGCAGACUAGAGUGCGGUAGGGAGACUGGAAUUCCUGGUGUAGCGGUGAAAUGCGCAGAUAUCAGGAGGAACACCGGUGGCGAAGGCGGGUCUCUGGGCCGUAACUGACGCUGAGGAGCGAAGCAUGGGGAGCGAACAGG
rnacentral:rRNA from 1 species